rnacentral:rRNA from 1 species
CAGCCGCCACGGUAAUACGAAGGGUGCAAGCGUUACUCGGAAUUACUGGGCGUAAAGCGUGCGUAGGUGGUGGUUUAAGUCCGUUGUGAAAGCCCUGGGCUCAACCUGGGAAUUGCAGUGGAUACUGGGUCACUAGAGUGUGGUAGAGGAUAGUGGAAUUUCCGGUGUAGCAGUGAAAUGCGUAGAGAUCGGAAGGAACAUCUGUGGCGAAGGCGACUAUCUGGGCCAACACUGACACUGAGGCACGAAAGCGUGGGGAGCAAACAGGAUUAGAUACCCCUGUAGUCCCUGUAUCUUAUAC